UGGCGCUGCUAUGUUAGUUGACCGUUGAUCGGUUGGAAAAGCUAGGCCCGGUCUGGGAAGCUAGCAAAAGUCUGGGCUUUUGGCUAUUCAGUUGCUAGUGGCUGGUCACAGGGUUUGUACACGGAAUUAGUCUUUAGUGCAGAUGUGUAUAUGUGUGUGUGCGAUAAGAACAAAGAAUCAGGCAGCACAGGGCAUAUCUAUGUUACACAAAAACGGACCAAAAGUACAGAACCUUAUCAUAUAUGUGUCCAACAAUUCCUAAGAACAAUUCCCAGUACCGAUGUACUAAAAUACCACCUAAUUGGUCUCCACCUCAGUUCGUCUCUCCCUUCCCAUCCUCGUCUCUCCCUACGUUGGUUGGUAUUUCGCCUCGUCGUUCCUCGUGGCGUGCGCGUUCCCGAAGACACUGUGGCCGGACCUUCGGCGACACUGCGGUUGUGCGACGCGGACGAGUGUGUCUCGGACAGCUAGGACGCCGGGAGACACAGGUGCAGGUGCGGGUGCAUGAUACACAUUACAUAGUUGUCGGGACGCGAGAACGUGGGUUGGAACGAGGUAGGUGCGCGUAAGUUGGCGAUACGGUUCCACCAGUAUCGUUAGUUACCGUGGCAGA
rnacentral:misc_RNA from 1 species